UUCUGUCACAUAAGCCUGCCGAUUAGUUACAAGAAAUCCACAUCAGCGCAUUCAGCUUAGCAAUCUUUGACUUACACGUUAAUAGCAUGGUUCCUUUAUAAACGUGGCAUUUGCUUUUAAUGGCCGUGGAGCAAUUCUUAAAGAGGAAUACAAGAAACAGGUUUUCCAUACAAAUUACCACAUCCGAGAGGCUAUCGGCCAAGAAUGUAGAAUAGAAAACCAAAUCAAAUAUCGUUGAAUUAUAAGUUUAUGUUAAUGUUAAUCUCAGUGGAUAUGGCUUUUAUGAUGGCUUCUAUACCGGCAUCUGUAAACCAUUUCACCACUUCAGAACUGAAACAACAAUUUUGCAUUUUAUUAAAGAGGAUGAUUAAAAGAAAUAUAACUAUCUUCUAAACCACUUCAAAUCAAAUCUGUGUACAGUCUUACCCAAUGCAACUGACGGUGAUUGUUCUUCGGUCUUGAAAAGUUAGACGACACUGAUCGCCAACAACUUCAGCUAACGUUACAAAAGAAUCUGGUUGUAGUAUACUUCUGUAUAUACCUUUCAACCGACACAUCAUGUUACGAUCUCCAAAGUCUUCAUGGGCUGGUCCUCAAAAAAUUAAAAAAGGUAUUUAUAAAAAUUUGCCAAUCUUAACUUACUAGUUACUACAUUUAUUCAGUGUGUAAGGCAUAACUAAUACACGUGAUUAAUGCUAUACACAGAUGAUCCUAAGCAAUGUUACUCUAAGUCAAUAACAUCUUCAAAUGUAGAUAAU